UAUGGUGGUUAUGCGGAUUGGUUAGCAGAAUUUUGUGGGAAGUGGCGGUUCGAGUCGGUGAUGCAGCCUGUUAUAACAAGCUGAAGGUGCAUAGACUCUUAAUUUUUCUCUCUUAUCUUCUGAACUGAUGCAGAGUUAUUGUAUGGCUUGAAUGGAUUGAUUAAUGAUUUGAAAAAAAACAAAGUGUUCGAUAUUGAAGGAAACAAAGGGUGAGGGAGGUCAAAGGGAGCUGACUCUGAACAGUGUCUGAACUGACUCGGUUUCUACGAGAACUAGUUUGUUAUUCGUUUCGGUUGAGCAAGCCUUUCUGCAAUCGUCCUCUUAUAUAUGCAGAAAAAUUAGGGUUUGAUAUUUGUUAACAGGCCUUUCUGCAAUCGUCCUCUUUCUCUUUCUCUCUCUCUCUCUUUAUUCUUUUUCUUUCUGCAACAGUAGGAGAUAUUGGCAAGCAUGACAUCCUAGAUAAGCUCAGCAUCUUAACCCCUUUUGUUGAUAUUAUCUCUGUAAAAUGGCAAAGGAAUGUUAUUUGUCGUAUUGUCUUUUAUGUCAUGUCAAACUAAGUUGAAAGCAUUCUACAGUUUAUUUCUUUGUAUUUCCCUAACACAGUUCGUUUUGUAUAAAUGUUAUCGGUAUCGUUGACACCGUGCUUUACACUCGGCAAAACUCUGGAGGGAAGAAGCCACAGGGACAACACUUUAAAUUGCACACUAUGGGAAGCUUGUGCUAUGGAGUACGUUGACUACCAACAUCGACAGGCUGAUAGAGCCAAACCUAUUGAAUACAUAUAUGGUUAUGAUUCAGGUUCUGUGUUCUUACAAAUGGAAGCUUCACAUCGACAUCUAUGUCUCUAAAUUCGCUUAUGGUCAGUUACUUUUUUUCUGUCUUUGAUUAUCAGAACAGUUUUAAUAUAAUAGCAUGACGAGACCAAGUCCCGGUGUGAUAUUGGGAUCAAGCAACUGUUAUUCUUUAAUAUUUAGACAGAAUUGAUUUAAAAGUCAAGAAAUGGCAGCAGCUGCUUUGGCAUAUAAAUGCAUGGAGAAUGUAUCUUAAAAAGUUGCCUUGCCAAAUUCACUCUCUUUUGUUUUGUUCUUUGUCUGAAGAAUGUAUCUUAAAAAGCUAAGUUGGCAUAUUUCACAAUAUUUUUUUUCAAAUAAAUGUUGAAAGAUCUUUCUUUGACUUUUAGUAUUCUUCACAUUUUUCUUAUGCAUUUUUCCUUCUUUUGUUGCCUUUUUUUUAAUAAAACUCUUUUUGUUACUAUCAGUAAUAUUUCAGCUGACAUUUUUUUAUGAGAAGAGUUCCUUUAUUAGUUGGAUCUUAACCCCUUUUACUUGUCUGCAGAGCUUAUGAAUAAUGGUAUGUUGGUUGCAGGAUGGAAAGUUUCAUCUGAAAAGUAGUGGCUUAAGUGGUGAUUUCGAUGGUUUUGUUGUCUGAGUAGUGGCAUUGAUUUAUGUAGCUUGGAAGUCUUGCGGAUUUGGUAGCCUUGUGUUUUAGGUAGUCUUCUCGCCUUGGCUUUGGUUGCUGGUGUGUUAUCGCGUGCAGUUGUGUUAUGGCUUUCAUUUCAUUUCGCUCAGUUUCGGCAGAGGCUGGUUUUAUGAGAAGUAGCUGAUUAGGUUUGAGGUGUUAUGUUUGUUGGCUUAUGCCUAACUGUAUGUUUGUAUUUUGAGCAACCAACCAAAACAAAAACACCAUGUUCUUUUCUAUCAGAAAGUAACACAUUAUUUAUACUAUUCUUUUCAAUUUUCUUUAGCUAAAGUCACUCAAAGCUGAGUGAAAAUAAGAGUUCA